CCUACGGGAGGCAGCAGUGGGGAAUAUUGGGCAAUGGGCGCAAGCCUGACCCAGCAACGCCGCGUGAAGGAAGAAGGCUUUCGGGUUGUAAACUUCUUUUGUCAGGGACGAAGCAAGUGACGGUACCUGACGAAUAAGCCACGGCUAACUACGUGCCAGCAGCCGCGGUAAUACGUAGGUGGCACGCGUUAUCCGGAUUUAGUGGUUGUAAAGGGCGUGUAGGCGGGACUGCAAGUCAGAUGGGAAAACCACGGGCUCAACCUGUGUACUGCAUUUGACACUGUAGUUCUUGAGUACUGGAGAGGCAGACGGAAUUCCUAGUGUAGCGGUGAAAUGCGUAGAUAUUAGGAGGAACACCAGUGGCGAAGGCGGUCUGCUGGACAGCAACUGACGCUGAGGCGCGAAAGCGUGGGGAGCAAACAGGAUUAGAUACCCGAGUAGUC
rnacentral:rRNA from 1 species